CACUGACCUUUCUCGCACAUUUUUCCAUUAGUGAGUUUGGUGUAGGCAGUGAUUCUAUCUGAUGUGGUCCAUCAGAUCCUUUACAUGAUGAUAAAGGUAAGAACCCGCUGGUUAUCUUUAGACUCAGGACGGAGGACACAAAUGAGCAACACUUCAUGAUCUGAGAAGACGACAUAAGGUUACCUGGGGAUGGGCGGCUCCUCCUCCAAAACACACUUAAUCUGGAAGAAGAAAAAGAAGUCGCCUCUGAACAAAGCCUGGCGUCAGCUGAAGGGGGUGCUACCCAAUAAGAAACGCAAGAAGAAGAUCCCUCGGGCACUGGAUAAACUGAACCUGGAUAACCUGAAGAAGAAAAAGCGUCCUCAGAGGAAAUUCUCUCUGCCGACGGAAAAAAGAGAGUUUACAUCAUCGAAAAGAGUCUCUCUUGUUAACAUGAGGAAGGAGUCGACAACGUCACUGGGGAGGAAGGAGGACAGGGGAGGGCUGGGGAAUGUAGGAGAGCAGAUAAAGAAGAGGUUGUCUCUCCCUGUGUGAAGGAAGAAAAUGAGAGACUCAAUGAAAUCAAAAGCAAAUUUAGAAAGAAAGAACCUUGAAUUUGGCAAAAGAUGAGACAAGCUGUCAGUGAUCAGGCCACAGGAGAGUCAGAGAGAUACAUGUAUUCAAAAUAUUUAAUGACGUAAAUGUCAGUUACUGAGGGCAGAUCAUCACGACUGAAAAUGACACAGAAAACUGAAACACAGCACUAUUCACAAUAUUAACAUAAAACUGUUGUUAUAUGUUCACCCUAAAGUUUCACAUCACUCACAUGUUCUGUUCACUCUGUCAUGUUCAACAAAAAGUUUCAACAAGGAAAUCGAAACAUUUCUGGAGAUUAAACAACAAUAAAUGAAAAGCUUGAUUUCCCUU